UACAGAGGGUGCAAGCGUUGUUCGGAAUUAUUGGGCGUAAAGGGCGCGUAGGCGGCGCGGAUAGUCGGCGGUGAAAGCCCGGAGCUCAACUCCGGGUCGGCCGUCGAUACUUCCGGGCUUGAGCACUGUAGAGGCAGAUGGAAUUCCGGGUGUAGCGGUGGAAUGCGUAGAUAUUAGGAGGAACACCAGUUGCGAAGGCGGCUCUCUGGACUGUAACUGACGCUGAGGCACGAAAGCGUGGGGAGCAAACAGG
rnacentral:rRNA from 1 species